UUCAGUCCGUUUCAGUGGCUUGUGAUUUUGAGGAGCUGAUGUUUUAGUCAAGUUUGGUGAUUCUUCGCCCUGCUAUUAAUUAUUUUGAAACACAACGUAUUCUGUCCAAUUCGAUUUUUUGCCGAGUCGCUUUUGAGUCGAAUGAAAACACUUUUAUCCGUUGUCACUGUGCAAGUUUCCAGUAGCCGUUUUCCCGUGAUAUUUCCAUGAUAUUCGGUUUGGAGAUAUCAUGUUGGAAGUCAGUUUGUUCAUGAGCCAUUUAGGGUUAAUUUGAUUUUCCAGCUUCACAACUUGUCUGUCGGGAACUUACGAGUCGCCGAAGUAAUUAUUUUGUGGCCUCUCCAACAUUCGUCAAGGCGGCGUGCGAAGACUGAGAAUUUUCACUUUGCAUCAGAGCUGCUCCUGAGUUUACGGAUCAUCGCUUCUUCCCGGUAAAAUCUCUCAAACCCUUGCUCUCAGAAUUAACUGCUCCUGAAUUCACGGAUCAUCGCUUCAUCACGGUAAAAUCUCUCCAACUCCUGCUCUCAGAAUUAAUUGCGAACGAAUCGACCUUUUGUUUAUCCUCUCAAUUUUCAAAGUUAGCUGGCACAGUAUUCUUCCUCACCAACGAUACAAUAAGCAGUCGCCAUGUAGGCGGAUCUUAGUAAAAUCAGUCUAACUCCAUUCUGCGUUGCCUAUAAUUGUAUCGCUCUCAGUUCGAAAACUACCAAACUCGGCACGGUGCUCCUGAAGGGGUCCGAAGUUUGUCAAGAGCGACAAAUUUGAGCUAAAAUGUCAAGAGGAGAUCUCUCUAAUACUAAAAACCACAUUUUCGAAACAGGUUGUUGGAGCUCCUGGAGAAAUAAUCGCGAUUUUAUGAGGUUAUUAGGCUUUUUUUUGGUAAAAAGGCUCAUGUAGGGCACUUAAAUCCCCCCUUGCCUCAUUUCUUUUUGGAUUCAUCUGAAUUUUUAGUAUAUUAAUCUCCGAUAUGCGGUACAACUUUUCUGAAAUUGUCAUGAUUGAGAAAAUUCUUUUGCUCCCGCUGCAUCGUUGCAAAGUUUCAAGCUUCAUAAUUUUGGAUUUUGCGAAAUAAUUGUGACAUUGCCCCCCCCCCUCCCGCUCCUUCGAUUGGUCCGAAUGUUCAGUAUGUUAUUCUCCGAUAUCAGAUAUGUAAAUAUUGAAAUUUAUAUGACCGGGAAAUUGUUUUACCUUUCGUUGCAACGAUGCCAAAUUUUAAACUUAAAAAAAAAUACCCCCGUCAUAAAAAUGUCAAUAUUUUCGUAUAUCAUAUCGGAGACCAAUCUAAGAAGGGGGGCCAAUGUCACAAUUUUCUCGCAAAAUCCAUAAGAUUUCGAAAGCGAAUACUUACUCACUAAAUCCCAGAAGCAUUCAGUUUAGCAAUAGUUAGUUUUGCAUCGGCAGCAUUUACUUUUAUGUUUUUUAUCUAAUGAAAUGAAUCGUGAGAGAAAUAUUAUAUAUCGGCCUUAUUUUGGAGUUAGACUAAUUUAGCUUGAAGGCUUCCAUCAAGCCACACGAAUUAAAGCAUGGUGGGGUUCUUGUCACAAUCGAUAUAUUUUCUUUUGUUUUAACUUUGUCUACCUAUGAACGAGUCUGAGGAAAAUUAAAAAAAAAAAACCCUCCCUCAGCGAAGUCAACCAAUUCUCCGCAAUGGCGGCAAAAGGAAAGAAAAAAUUCAAAUAUAUUCAGCAUCAUUCCCCAAAUAGGCUCACACAAACUGCAUUGAUGAAUAACUGUGCAGGUUGUAUACCCUCCAAAUUGCAGGGUAUUUUUGGAACUUACAAAAAUCAAAAUUAA